rnacentral:misc_RNA from 1 species
UUUCCGUAGGUGAACCUGCGGAAGGAUCAUUAUUGAAUACGUUUGGUUCUGAUGCUGGCUCUUCACUGAGCAUGUGCUCGAUCCAUAACCAUUUAUCUUCUCUUGUGCACCUUUUGUAGUCUUUCAGAGCAAGUGAUAACUCUCGCAGCAACGCGGUUUGGGGGACUUGGGCGUGAGCCCUUCCCCUUCGUUUGCUUCUUUGGAGGGCUAUGUUUUCAUAUACACUAUAAAGUUACAGAAUGUCUUUUAAAGAUUGUGCUAGUCGCAGUCAUUAAACCUAUACAACUUUCAGCAACGGAUCUCUUGGCUCUC